rnacentral:rRNA from 1 species
CUAAACUUUUGAGUGGCCGACCGGCGCACGGGUGAGUAACACGUAUCCAACCUGCCUCAUACUCGGGGAUAGCCUUUCGAAAGAAAGAUUAAUACCCGAUGUUAUAGUCCUACCGCAUGAUGGGAUUAUUAAAGAAUUUCGGUAUGGGAUGGGGAUGCGUUCCAUUAGUUAGUUGGCGGGGUAACGGCCCACCAAGACAACGAUGGAUAGGGGUUCUGAGAGGAAGGUCCCCCACAUUGGAACUGAGACACGGUCCAAACUCCUACGGGAGGCAGCAG